UGCACAGAAUAACCAAACAUGCUUUUUUGUUGAAAAUCGUUAAAAUAUGCGAGAAAGAUUCAUAUUUAAACAUGAGAGCUAUGGGUCCAUGGAUUUAUGACCUGUAAUAAUUGUAUCUCGGUUAAUGGUUUGCUAUAUAAUAGAAGCCUAGCAAACGAACACUGCGAUUUCCCUGUCCUAAUUUUAACUAAACUCCGAUGGCAUCUAAGAAUAGGACCUUUAUGACC